rnacentral:lncRNA from 10 species
CUUAGAUUCUCCAGAGAAAGAACUUCUAUAUGGAAAGAGGCAGAUUGCUGGAAGGAGUAAAUAAUUCACAGACAACUCAUAAGCCCUGAGCUCUGGUCUGUCUCUGCCAAUUAAAUGCUGUGGAACUUUUGGAAAUGAAGAUGAGAUAAAGGCUUUUCAUACCAACAAAAGUGGAAAGAAUUCAUCAUAAGAAGACUUGAGUGAGAAGAAAUGCUAAGAAAGCUCUUCAAGUAGAAGAAAAUGAUACCAGAUGGAAAUCUGGAUCUCCACAAAGGAACAAAAAGUAUUGAGAAUGGGAACUAUCCUAUGUGGGUAAAUAUGAGGGUUUUUAAAAUUAUUUAAAUCUCUUUAAAGUGUUUCUCAGUCUUUUUAAUUUUAUUCUCUGACGAAGCAUUUUUA